AGUGAACGCUGGCGGUAGGCCUAACACAUGCAAGUCGAACGGCAGCACAGUAAGAGCUUGCUCUUACGGGUGGCGAGUGGCGGACGGGUGAGGAAUACAUCGGAAUCUACUUUUUCGUGGGGGAUAACGUAGGGAAACUUACGCUAAUACCGCAUACGACCUACGGGUGAAAGCAGGGGAUCUUCGGACCUUGCGCGAUUGAAUGAGCCGAUGUCGGAUUAGCUAGUUGGCGGGGUAACGGCCCACCAAGGCGACGAUCCGUAGCUGGUCUGAGAGGAUGAUGAGCCACAAUUGAACUGAGACACGGUCCAGAAUCCUACGGGAGGCAGCAGUGGGGAAUAUUGGACAAUGGGCGCAAGCAUGAUCCAGCCAUACCGCGUGGGUGAAGAAGGCCUUCGGGUUGUAAAGCACUUUUGUUGGGAAAGAAAAGCAGCAGGUUAAUACCCCGCUGUUCUGACGGUACCCAAAGAAUAAGCACCGGCUAACUUCGUG
rnacentral:rRNA from 1 species